rnacentral:rRNA from 1 species
CCACACCUAAAACACUUUCCACGUGAACGUUUCAACCCAAUAGUUGGGGGUCUUAUUUGGCGGCGGCUGCUGGCUUAAUUGUUGGCGGCUGCUGCUGAGUGAGCCCUAUCAAAAAAAAAGGCGGACGUUUGGGCUUCGGCCUGAAUUAGUAAUCCUUUUUUCUUUUAAACCCAUUCCUUAAUACUGAAUAUACUGUGGGGACGAAAGUCUCUGCUUUUAACUAGAUAGCAACUUUCAGCAGUGGAUGUCUAGGCUCGCACAUCGAUGAAGAACGCUGCGAACUGCGAUACGUAAUGCGAAUUGCAGGAUUCAGUGAGUCAUCGAAAUUUUGAACGCAUAUUGCACUUCCGGGUUAGUCCUGGAAGUAUGCCUGUAUCAGUGUCCGUACAUUAAACUUGACUUUCUUCCUUCCGUGUAGUCGGUGGAGGAGAUGUCAGAUGUGAAGUGUCUUGCGAUUGGUCUUCGGACCGGCUGCGAGUCCUUUUAAAUGUACUAAACUGAACUUCUCUUUGCUCGAAAAGUGGUGGCGUUGCUGGUUGUGAAGGCUGCUAUUGUGGCAAAUUGGCGACUGGUUUGUCUGCUGCGGCAUUAAUGGAAGAGUGUUCGAUUCGUGGUAUGGUUGGCUUCGGCUGAACAAUGCACUUAUUGGACGUUUUUCCUGCUGUGGCGUGAUGGACUGGUGAACCAUAGCUCGGUGGCUUGGCUUUUGAAUUGGCUUUUGCUGUUGCGAAGUAGGGUGGCAGCUUCGGUUGUCGAGGGUCGAUCCAUUUGGGAACUUAAUGUGUACUUCGGUAUGCAUCUCAA